AGCUCGACCGGGUCGACCGCACGAGUGACGACGAGGUAAUCGCGUAGCGCGGUGCUGUGCCGGUUUUC
rnacentral:sRNA from 1 species